rnacentral:rRNA from 1 species
AGAUUGAACGCUGGCGGCAUGCUUUUACACAUGCAAGUCGAACGGUAACAGGCCGCAAGGUGCUGACGAGUGGCGAACGGGUGAGUAAUGCAUCGGAACGUGCCCAGUCGUGGGGGAUAACGCAGCGAAAGCUGUGCUAAUACCGCAUACGAUCUAUGGAUGAAAGCGGGGGACCGAAAGGCCUCGCGCGAUUGGAGCGGCCGAUGUCAGAUUAGCUAGUUGGUGGGGUAAAGCCCACCAAGGCGACGAUCUGUAGCUGGUCUGAGAGGACGACCACGCCUACACUGGAACUGAGACACGGUCCAGACCUCCGUACGGGA